rnacentral:rRNA from 1 species
GACGAACGCUGGCGGCGUGCUUAACACAUGCAAGUCGAACGAAGUGGCGAACGGGUGAGUAACGCGUAAUCAACCUGCCCUUCAGAGGGGGACAACAGUUGGAAACGACUGCUAAUACCGCAUACUGAAGGAGGGGAUUGCGUCUGAUUAGCUAGUUGGAGGGGUAACGGCCCACCAAGGCGAUGAUCAGUAGCCGGGCUGGAGGGAUGAACGGCCCAAAUGGGAACUGGACAACGCCCAGAAUUCUAAGGGAGGGAGCAGGGGGGGAUUCUUCGGAAUGGAAGGAAGGCUGGCGAGGCAAAGCCGGGGGGGUGAUGGCGGGCUUUGGGUUGGUAAGCUUUGGUAAUCGGGACGCGGUACCGGAAUAGAAAGCCACGGCUAACUACGUGCCAGCAGCCGCGGUAAUAC